rnacentral:rRNA from 1 species
AGCCCUUCGGGGUGGAUUAGUGGCGAACGGGUGAGUAACACGUGGGCAAUCUGCCCUUCACUCUGGGACAAGCCCUGGAAACGGGGUCUAAUACCGGAUAAUACUUUCCCUCUCAUGGGGGAAGGUUAAAAGCUCCGGCGGUGAAGGAUGAGCCCGCGGCCUAUCAGCUAGUUGGUGGGGUAAUGGCCUACCAAGGCGACGACGGGUAGCCGGCCUGAGAGGGCGACCGGCCACACUGGGACUGAGACACGGCCCAGACUCCUACGGGAGGCAGCAGUGGGGAAUAUUGCACAAUGGGCGAAAGCCUGAUGCAGCGACGCCGCGUGAGGGAUGACGGCCUUCGGGUUGUAAACCUCUUUCAGCAGGGAAGAAGCGAAAGUGACGGUACCUGCAGAAGAAGCGCCGGCUAACUACGUGCCAGCAGCCGCGGUAAUACGUAGGGCGCAAGCGUUGUCCGGAAUUAUUGGGCGUAAAGAGCUCGUAGGCGGCUUGUUGCGUCGGUUGUGAAAGCCCGGGGCUUAACCCCGGGUCUGCAGUCGAUACGGGCAGGCUAGAGUGUGGUAGGGGAGAUCGGAAUUCCUGGUGUAGCGGUGAAAUGCGCAGAUAUCAG